rnacentral:tRNA from 2 species
GCCUAGGUAGCUCAGUUGGCUAGAGCAUUCGGUUCAUACCCGAACGGUCGAAGGUUCGAAUCCUUUCCUAGGCACCA